UCAAUACUCGCAAAUGUGUUUAGUGUGG
rnacentral:sRNA from 1 species